UGAAGUUUAUUGCAAUGCUGCGAUUUACUUGCACAUUUUGGCCGAUUUUCAACUUGAUUUCUGCUCAUUACUUCACUAACCCGCG